rnacentral:rRNA from 1 species
CGGAGCUUGCUCCACCGGAAAAAGAAGAGUGGCGAACGGGUGAGUAACACGUGGGUAACCUGCCCAUCAGAAGGGGAUAACACUUGGAAACAGGUGCUAAUACCGUAUAACAAUCGAAACCGCAUGGUUUUGAUUUGAAAGGCGCUUUCGGGUGUCGCUGAUGGAUGGACCCGCGGUGCAUUAGCUAGUUGGUGAGGUAACGGCUCACCAAGGCCACGAUGCAUAGCCGACCUGAGAGGGUGAUCGGCCACAUUGGGACUGAGACACGGCCCAAACUCAUACGGGAGGCAGCAGUAGGGAAUCUUCGGCAAUGGACGAAAGUCUGACCGAGCAACGCCGCGUGAGUGAAGAAGGUUUUCGGAUCGUAAAACUCUGUUGUUAGAGAAGAACAAGGAUGAGAGUAACUGUUCAUCCCUUGACGGUAUCUAACCAGAAAGCCACGGCUAACUACGUGCCAGCAGCCGCGGUAAUACGUAGGUGGCAAGCGUUGUCCGGAUUUAUUGGGCGUAAAGCGAGCGCAGGCGGUUUCUUAAGUCUGAUGUGAAAGCCCCCGGCUCAACCGGGGAGGGUCAUUGGAAACUGGGAGACUUGAGUGCAGAAGAGGAGAGUGGAAUUCCAUGUGUAGCGGUGAAAUGCGUAGAUAUAUGGAGGAACACCAGUGGCGAAGGCGGCUCUCUGGUCUGUAACUGACGCUGAGGCUCGAAAGCGUGGGGAGCAAACAGGAUUAGAUACCCUGGUAGUCCACGCCGUAAACGAUGAGUGCUAAGUGUUGGAGGGUUUCCGCCCUUCAGUGCUGCAGCUAACGCAUUAAGCACUCCGCCUGGGGAGUACGACCGCAAGGUUGAAACUCAAAGGAAUUGACGGGGGCCCGCACAAGCGGUGGAGCAUGUGGUUUAAUUCGAAGCAACGCGAAGAACCUUACCAGGUCUUGACAUCCUUUGACCACUCUAGAGAUAGAGCUUCCCCUUCGGGGGCAAAGUGACAGGUGGUGCAUGGUUGUCGUCAGCUCGUGUCGUGAGAUGUUGGGUUAAGUCCCGCAACGAGCGCAACCCUUAUUGUUAGUUGCCAUCAUUUAGUUGGGCACUCUAGCAAGACUGCCGGUGACAAACCGGAGGAAGGUGGGGAUGACGUCAAAUCAUCAUGCCCCUUAUGACCUGGGCUACACACGUGCUACAAUGGGAAGUACAACGAGUCGCGAAGUCGCGAGGCUAAGCUAAUCUCUUAAAGCUUCUCUCAGUUCGGAUUGUAGGCUGCAACUCGCCUACAUGAAGCCGGAAUCGCUAGUAAUCGCGGAUCAGCACGCCGCGGUGAAUACGUUCCCGGGCCUUGUACACACCGCCCGUCACACCACGAGAGUUUGUAACACCCGAAGUCGGUGAGGU